CUGCUUCUGCAUCAAUCUAAUACACCGCUAACACUUUCGUCUCAUCCAGGGAUGUUUGUGGGGAGUGGCCAGUGUUCAGAUACAUCCGUGCACAGUAGCAGAGUUACUCCAGAUCCUGGAGGCUCUGAGUCUCCACCACAUCUCUCCAGGCCACUGAUGGUCCAGACAUCUUUGUGUGAAUUAGAAAAAAAGAUAUCCCUUCCUCCAAGAAGUUGCAACUCCAUGUCAGGACACAAAGCUUGGCUAGAGGGAAAAAGGCAAAAAUUGGAUGAUCCCAGGAUGGUGAGGACAUCAUAAAGCAACAAUGGAAUUAGUCAUCAAUUAUUACAGCUUUUUAAUUUUCAACUCAAGAGAGGGCAACCCAUACUUUCCUUAGGGUUUUAAAACAGCAGUAUUUUUGCUCUUUACCGCGCCUUGGAUCUGAGAUGUCAAAGUACUUUACAAACAAAUACCUCCAAACACUUUGGGAUUGAGGCUUUUUACAGAUGGAGAGCAGGGCCCAGGGAAGAAGCGAUUUGCCCAAGGUCACGGCUGAAUCAGAGGCACAGCUGGAAACACUACUCAUGAAUACUGGCUCCUGGAGUCGGAGCUCAUCAACACCAGCCUGCCACCUCCCACACACACCAAAACAAAACCCCAAAGCCGGAAAACAGCAGCAGGAAGAAAAGUCACCUGCCCUCCACAGCCCAGGGUGUCCACACUGACAAUUUGCUGUACACAUUGGAAGCUGGGUGUGCAGGUCAGAUAUCUCUACAGAUUGCCAUUGCUGGACCCAGGAGAAUCAGUCAUUAAUGAAAGCUGAAAGUGCACUCUGCAUAUUUGGGCAGAUCAGCUUUCCAUCCUGAACCCCCAGGUGUAUAUGUCAGAAUUCUGGGCUUCCAGGAGGCGUUGAUGGUUCAUGCGACAGUUUGCUCUGCCUACGUGGCAGGUCUGGUUCUUUUCUGUGGUGGCUCCCUCCAGAACUUGCUCUACGUGCUCAGAGUUGCAGUGCAAGAUUCAGAGAAGACACAGUUAACAAGAGAGGGAGAGAAAGAGGAAAAGAAAAGAAGGAAGACAGAGGAGAGACUGCUUUGAAACCUGUGCAGGCCCUAGAACCUCUUUUUGUGAAGCCUCCAUUCCACACUAUGUCACAUACAUUACAGUCCCACGUUGAAUACAGUUUCUGAUUAUUUACCAGUUACGUUAGGUUGCAGUUUGCUGAUGACAACGUUAUGGUUUUGUAGAUAUUUAAUUAAACAUUUAAUACAUUUGAUUUUACAGUUUUCUUGCCUUCCCUGGAUUUUAGAG
rnacentral:lncRNA from 10 species